CGACGAGUAGGUCAGCGGCAGACCGCCUCCCUCACACGGAGGAUGCCCGAGGUUCGACUCCUCGCUCGUCGA
rnacentral:tRNA from 1 species